UGGGGAAUAUUGCACAAUGGGCGCAAGCCUGAUGCAGCGACGCCGCGUGAAGGAUGAAGGUUUUCGGAUCGUAAACUUCUAUCAGCAGGGAAGGAACCAAUGACGGUACCUGACUAAGAAGCCCCGGCUAACUACGUGCCAGCAGCCGCGGUAAUAAUCA
rnacentral:rRNA from 1 species